AGCAUAACGCUGAACAAGAGGAGUAACUGGCACAUUCAUUCUUAGAGAGAGAACUAUCUGCUGAAAGGUUCUCAAUGACAACCAGUGAAGGUAGCUUGGGAGUUUCUGUCUUGAAUGGAGUAGAGAUAGACGAGUCGUGAUCGUUAACUCACUUGAGAGGCAAUAAUGAUUGAUUAUUGCAAUUUAGGUGGUACCGCGUAAAUCAUACGUCCUAGAA
rnacentral:ncRNA from 1 species